rnacentral:rRNA from 1 species
GGGUUGUGAGGUUAAGCGACUAAGCGUACACGGUGGAUGCCCUGGCAGUCAGAGGCGAUGAAGGACGUGCUAAUCUGCGAUAAGCGUCGGUAAGGUGAUAUGAACCGUUAUAACCGGCGAUUUCCGAAUGGGGAAACCCAGUGUGAUUCGUCACACUAUCAUUAACUGAAUCCAUAGGUUAAUGAGGCGAACCGGGGGAACUGAAACAUCUAAGUACCCCGAGGAAAAGAAAUCAACCGAGAUUCCCCCAGUAGCGGCGAGCGAACGGGGAGCAGCCCAGAGCCUGAAUCAGUGUGUGUGUUAGUGGAAGCGUCUGGAAAGGCGCGCGAUACAGGGUGACAGCCCCGUACACAAAAAUGCACAUGCUGUGAGCUCGAUGAGUAGGGCGGGACACGUGGUAUCCUGUCUGAAUAUGGGGGGACCAUCCUCCAAGGCUAAAUACUCCUGACUGACCGAUAGUGAACCAGUACCGUGAGGGAAAGGCGAAAAGAACCCCGGCGAGGGGAGUGAAAAAGAACCUGAAACCGUGUACGUACAAGCAGUGGGAGCACGCUUAGGCGUGUGACUGCGUACCUUUUGUAUAAUGGGUCAGCGACUUAUAUUCUGUAGCAAGGUUAACCGAAUAGGGGAGCCGAAGGGAAACCGAGUCUUAACUGGGCGUUAAGUUGCAGGGUAUAGACCCGAAACCCGGUGAUCUAGCCAUGGGCAGGUUGAAGGUUGGGUAACACUAACUGGAGGACCGAACCGACUAAUGUUGAAAAAUUAGCGGAUGACUUGUGGCUGGGGGUGAAAGGCCAAUCAAACCGGGAGAUAGCUGGUUCUCCCCGAAAGCUAUUUAGGUAGCGCCUCGUGAAUUCAUCUCCGGGGGUAGAGCACUGUUUCGGCAAGGGGGUCAUCCCGACUUACCAACCCGAUGCAAACUGCGAAUACCGGAGAAUGUUAUCACGGGAGACACACGGCGGGUGCUAACGUCCGUCGUGAAGAGGGAAACAACCCAGACCGCCAGCUAAGGUCCCAAAGUCAUGGUUAAGUGGGAAACGAUGUGGGAAGGCCCAGACAGCCAGGAUGUUGGCUUAGAAGCAGCCAUCAUUUAAAGAAAGCGUAAUAGCUCACUGGUCGAGUCGGCCUGCGCGGAAGAUGUAACGGGGCUAAACCAUGCACCGAAGCUGCGGCAGCGACGCUUAUGCGUUGUUGGGUAGGGGAGCGUUCUGUAAGCCUGCGAAGGUGUGCUGUGAGGCAUGCUGGAGGUAUCAGAAGUGCGAAUGCUGACAUAAGUAACGAUAAAGCGGGUGAAAAGCCCGCUCGCCGGAAGACCAAGGGUUCCUGUCCAACGUUAAUCGGGGCAGGGUGAGUCGACCCCUAAGGCGAGGCCGAAAGGCGUAGUCGAUGGGAAACAGGUUAAUAUUCCUGUACUUGGUGUUACUGCGAAGGGGGGACGGAGAAGGCUAUGUUGGCCGGGCGACGGUUGUCCCGGUUUAAGCGUGUAGGCUGGUUUUCCAGGCAAAUCCGGAAAAUCAAGGCUGAGGCGUGAUGACGAGGCACUACGGUGCUGAAGCAACAAAUGCCCUGCUUCCAGGAAAAGCCUCUAAGCAUCAGGUAACAUCAAAUCGUACCCCAAACCGACACAGGUGGUCAGGUAGAGAAUACCAAGGCGCUUGAGAGAACUCGGGUGAAGGAACUAGGCAAAAUGGUGCCGUAACUUCGGGAGAAGGCACGCUGAUAUGUAGGUGAAGUCCCUCGCGGAUGGAGCUGAAAUCAGUCGAAGAUACCAGCUGGCUGCAACUGUUUAUUAAAAACACAGCACUGUGCAAACACGAAAGUGGACGUAUACGGUGUGACGCCUGCCCGGUGCCGGAAGGUUAAUUGAUGGGGUUAGCGCAAGCGAAGCUCUUGAUCGAAGCCCCGGUAAACGGCGGCCGUAACUAUAACGGUCCUAAGGUAGCGAAAUUCCUUGUCGGGUAAGUUCCGACCUGCACGAAUGGCGUAAUGAUGGCCAGGCUGUCUCCACCCGAGACUCAGUGAAAUUGAACUCGCUGUGAAGAUGCAGUGUACCCGCGGCAAGACGGAAAGACCCCGUGAACCUUUACUAUAGCUUGACACUGAACAUUGAGCCUUGAUGUGUAGGAUAGGUGGGAGGCUUUGAAGUGUGGACGCCAGUCUGCAUGGAGCCGACCUUGAAAUACCACCCUUUAAUGUUUGAUGUUCUAACGUUGACCCGUAAUCCGGGUUGCGGACAGUGUCUGGUGGGUAGUUUGACUGGGGCGGUCUCCUCCUAAAGAGUAACGGAGGAGCACGAAGGUUGGCUAAUCCUGGUCGGACAUCAGGAGGUUAGUGCAAUGGCAUAAGCCAGCUUGACUGCGAGCGUGACGGCGCGAGCAGGUGCGAAAGCAGGUCAUAGUGAUCCGGUGGUUCUGAAUGGAAGGGCCAUCGCUCAACGGAUAAAAGGUACUCCGGGGAUAACAGGCUGAUACCGCCCAAGAGUUCAUAUCGACGGCGGUGUUUGGCACCUCGAUGUCGGCUCAUCACAUCCUGGGGCUGAAGUAGGUCCCAAGGGUAUGGCUGUUCGCCAUUUAAAGUGGUACGCGAGCUGGGUUUAGAACGUCGUGAGACAGUUCGGUCCCUAUCUGCCGUGGGCGCUGGAGAACUGAGGGGGGCUGCUCCUAGUACGAGAGGACCGGAGUGGACGCAUCACUGGUGUUCGGGUUGUCAUGCCAAUGGCACUGCCCGGUAGCUAAAUGCGGAAGAGAUAAGUGCUGAAAGCAUCUAAGCACGAAACUUGCCCCGAGAUGAGUUCUCCCUGACCCUUUAAGGGUCCUGAAGGAACGUUGAAGACGACGACGUUGAUAGGCCGGGUGUGUAAGCGCAGCGAUGCGUUGAGCUAACCGGUACUAAUGAACCGUGAGGCUUAACCUUACAACGCCGAAGCUGUU